UAAUCAGAGAGAGACAGAGAGAAGAAGCCAUGUGAGGAUGGAGGCAAGAUUGAAGCGAAAGCGAAGUAGCUACAAGCCAAGGAAUGUCAAGGAUUGUCGAGAGCCACCAAAAGCCAGGUGAAAGAAGGCUUCUGCCAGACCUGUUCCUGUGGGAGUGGAAUCAUUGUGGGACCUGAUGAUUCAACAGUUGCCUCACAUGAGAGAAACCACAUCGGCUUGUACUGAAUACUACAUGCAAAAAGAACGCUGAAGCAUGAAACAUCAGAAGGCAAUAUCAUGUGCCAGUGCUGUACCAAGCCAUAGCGAAGCCUAAGGCAGAAGGAGAAGGAUCCUUCCUGUGAGCCAAACCCAACCAGAAGCUGGAGGGAACAGGAGUCAGUUCCAUUAAGAUCAGCCACCGGGGACAGAGAUCCAGGUGGAGAAUGCUGAAGAAAGCAUCUGGAUGUGCAAAGACAAGAUGCUCAGCACAACCCCACAUGAGUCAGUUUUUCAUUUUACUUCACUGGCUGUUCCUGCUCAUUAUCACUAUCCCUUGACAUCUUAAUCAAGGAUGCCCCAGAGUUUGAACUUCUUUUCUAUUUACUCUCAACCCCGUUGUGAUUUCAGCCAGUCUCCUGGAUUUAAAUGCAAUCUCAAUCUAUCUAACACUAACAGCCAAAUCACAUCCCCAGCCCCAACUCUUCCCCUGAACCCUGGACUGGCAAAUCCAACUAUUUGCUUGACUUCUCUGUGGAUGGUUAUAGGCACUCCUAACUUACCAUGUCUAAAAUUAGGCUCCAGAUCCCCUCCCCACAGCCAAGCCUCCUCUUGCCAUAACAUUCCCCAUCUCAGUUAAUGGCAACUCCAUCAGACCUUUCACUCAGCCCCAAACCUUGGAGUCAUCCUUGAUUUCAUCUUUCUUCUAACAUCCUACAUCCUAUCCAUAAGCAAAUCUUGGCUGCUCUAUUUUCCUAAUACAUCCAGGAUCUGAGCACUUUUUACUUCACUGCUGCUCCUACACUGCUCUAGCCCACCACCAUCUCUUGCUGGCGUUAUCGUUGCAUUAACCACCUCCUCAUUUGUCUCCUGGCCUCUGCCGCCACCCCCUGCAGUCUAUUCUUAACAUCACCAGAGUUGUUUACAUAUGAGUCAAAUCAUGUAAUUCCUCACCUCAAAAUCCUGUGGAGACUUCCCGUAUCAGCCAAGCUAGGUCAUGCUGCAGUAUCAGAAACAGAAACAACAUCAUCAGCUGUUACACAGAUUUUUCUUUCUUUCUCAGGGUAUAUAUUUACUGUGGGUCAUCAGGGGCUCUGCUCAACAUAGUCACUCAUGGAACCAGGAUGAUAGAGGUCCUGCCUUGACAUGUACUUACAUCAUCACUCCAGCAGUGGAAAGAGGAUGAGAAAACAUGCAGUGGCUUUUUUUUUUAAUUUAUUUUUUGAGGAAGACUGGCCCUGAGCUGACAUCCAUGCCCAUCUUCCUCUACUUUAUAUGUGGGAUGCCUGCCACAGCAUGGCUUGACAAGCAGUGCAAAGGUCUGCACCCACGAUCUGAACUGGCGAACCCUGGGCCACAGAAGCAGAACACGCGAACUUAACCACCGAGCCACCAGGCCGGCCCCACAGUGGCUUUUAAAGAUGUCACCCCACUCAGAAUUGACACAUUCCACUUCCACUCUCAUUUCUUUGGCUAAAACAAGGUGCCUUGCUGUGCAAUAAACCACUACAAAAUCUCAGUCGCAUGCAGCAAUAAGCAUUCAUUUGUCAUACAUCUGCAGGCUGGCUGGGCAUCAGCUGAUCUAGACUAGGCUAGGCGGGGCAUCUACUUUAAGAUGCAAGUUGUCUGGGGUAGCUCUAUUUAACAGGUUUCUCAUCCUCCUCCUAGAGUCAGUGGACAUGCCAGGGCAUGUUUUUUUCAUGUGAUGGCAGAAGCUCAGGAGGGCAAACCCCACUGGGUAAGCACACUUCGAGUUGUCACUUGAAUCAUGUCUACUUCCAUCCUGUGGUCCAAAGCAAGUCAUGUGACUACAGCCACAGCCAAGGGCUAAAGAAGCAUACUCUGUCUACUGUGAAGCCAGGGCGUGGGUGUGGAUGCAAAGAAGGGGUGAAGAAUUGGGGCAAUAAUCCAAAUAAAUAAUCCAAUCUAUCACACAUGACCACGCCUAAUUUUACGGGCAGAGAAAUAUAAUCCUCCUGUGUACCUGAAAGAACUAUUUAAAAUAUUUGAUGAACUCCACUAAAGAUCUUUAGUUGGAUAUGCCAAAGUCCUUACAAUGGCCUAAAAGAUUCACUGAAAUCUGGCUUCCUCUAGCUCCCUAACUUCGUCUCCGACCACCCAACAUGGCUCAUGCCAUUCCAGCCCUACACUAAGGAAGCUUCUACCUCAGGGCUUUUGCAAUAACUGUUCAUUCUGUCAGGAAUACUCGUCUAGUAGAUAUUUGCAUGGCUUUCUCCUUUAUGUCCUUUGGGACUUUGCUUUAGAUGAACACCUACUAAACCUCCCAUCCCCCAACCCUCCUUCUAUCACUGUCUCCCCCACUGAGGCAGAAGAUUCCAACGUUCACGUAGGAUCCUGGGCCUGGGUCCUUGGAGACAUUCUAGACUCUUCUGUCUUCCACUAUAUUUAAAGCUUUGCUUUUCAAAAUAUCCUGAGACUGUCUGCUUCUCACUUCCUCUACUUCGGCCUUCCUGGAUGAAGCCUCCUCUCUCUCCUGAGCCUGUUUCCUUAAGUGAUCUAUAGCUUCUCUCUCAUUUUCCUACAGCCAAUUUUCUAUCUAGUGACAGAUCUUUUAACAACUUGUCAUAUUUCAUAUUUCACUCCCCUGCUCAAAACUCUAAGGACAUCCCAACACACUCAGAAUCCAAACUUCUAACCAUGACCCAUAAGAUGCCCUAUGAAUUGGCCCUGUUUACUUCUUUCACCCCUGUUUUCUUACCAUUGAGUUCCUUGUCCACUCCACCCUUACCCUCUUGCUGUCCACAUCAUCCCUAGCUUGUUUCUGCCUCAGGGCCUUUGCACUUGCUAUUCUCUUUGCCUAGAAUGCUCUUCCCCAAGAUAUUUCCACCCAUUAUUUCCUGACUUCUUUAGCUCUCAGCGAAAAUGUCACCUCCUCAGAGAAACCUUCCUUUGCCUAACUUGCUUUGUUUUUCUUACAGCACUUAUCACCGUAUGAAGUUAUGUAUGUGUAUAUUUCCUGUUUCUACCUUGGUGCAAAUUCCGUGAAACUAGAACAUUGUGUGGUUCAUUAUCUUGUUCAUUGUCC
ensembl:lncRNA